rnacentral:rRNA from 1 species
UACGUAGGUGGCAAGCGUUGUCCGGAUUUACUGGGCGUAAAGCGUGCGCAGGCGGUUUGCUAAGAGAGAUGUGAAAUCCCCGGGCUUAACCUGGGAACUGCGUUUCUAACUGGCAGGCUUGAGUGUGGCAGAGGGGGGUGGAAUUCCACGUGUAGCAGUGAAAUGCGUAGAGAUGUGGAGGAACACCGAUGGCGAAGGCAGCCCCCUGGGCUAACACUGACGCUCAUGCACGAAAGCGUGGGGAGCAAACAGGAUAGA